UGUUUGGCACCAAGGGUGAUUACAUCUCUCCACUGUGAAUCAAGAGUGCUCAGGAUGAGAACUGAAAUUCUGUUUAGAAGUUGUAGUCUGUGGGAAUAUCUUUUACUGUGGAGCAUAUGCUAUUCACAUCCUCAUGCAUGUCUUGGAAGUAAGAUAGGUCCACAGCGCAGAAAUAAACCCUAAUAGUUAGUUACUCAGCUGAUGGUAUAAAAAAAAGAUGAAAUAUUUGUUUUUCAGACUCCCACGUUCCUGCAUAUAAAGGUGUUCCUGGUUGAUUUGAGAUGGUUUCUCAAGCAGGAGACUAUUUGUUGGGAAGUUCUCACCAUACCCAUUAUUGUUCUAGGGCUUGAGACCAAGUGGAAGUUUUAAUAUGCUGUUCUGGGAUUCUGUGACUCCAGCAUGUAAGCUUGCAGAGUUCAGCUCUCCUCGGUUUUCGGGAUUUCUGUAGAUUCCACUUAGUGUGUUCUCAGCAUGUGGAGAAGGAGGCUCUUCAUUGCACUGUCAUGCCUUCUCCAGACUCACAGAUAUGCCUUUGCCUCUCUAUUGUCUCUCUUUACCAUGUCCCAAGCAGCUCCUCUGUCAACUUUAGUCUCUUGAUUCUGUUCUUUCUUAUGAUGAACUUUCUAAGUUAUUUUGACUCUACACUAAGACGUGGGUUUCUGUUCAUCAGAUGGGUGUCGGUGGGAAGAGAAGACAAGGAAGACAAAGGUAGCAAUGAAGCAAUACGUGGAGAUGCCAUACUCCAAAGCGGUAGACAGACAAAUAUUGAUAGAAGAGUAAAAAGAAACCAGUCUGGCCUUGAACUCAGAGAGAUCCACCUGUCUCUGCCUCCUACGUGCUGGGAUCAAAGGCAUUAGAAAGUUACCGAAGGACCCCACUACUUCACUCCUGGAUGCAUGCUCGGAGAACUCCACGGCCUGCCAUGAGCCCUCCGCUGAUCCAAGGAACUCAGUCAGCUAUGCUGGCGUAGCUGACAAGUGGAGGUUUCACCAAGAUCGGAAAGAUGAGGACGAUUGCUGACGGGCCGUCUCCGGGGCUUGCAUUAAGACAGGAGACACAUUGGGCACAAACCGAAGAAAACAAUGUCAGCAUUCUAGAGUUAUUUUCUUACACAUCUACAAAGAAAACAACAGAACCCCCACAUCUUCGUUUCCUCUCUGGUUUCUGGGAUGUUCCUCACACAUGCAUCUUCCGUC